GACGAACGCUGGCGGCGUGCUUAACACAUGCAAGUCGAACGGAAAGGUCCUGCUUGCAGGGUCCUCGAGUGGCGAACGGGUGAGUAACACGUGGGUGAUCUGCCCUGCACUUCGGGAUAAGCCUGGGAAACUGGGUCUAAUACCGGAUAGGAGCCAUUUCUAGUGUGAUGGUUGGAACGUUUUUUCGGUGUAGGAUGAGCUCGCGGCCUAGCAGCUUGUUGGUGGUGUAAUGGCCUACCAAGGCGGCGACGGGUAGCCGGCCUGGGAGGGUGGACAGCCACAGUGAGACUGGGACACGGCCCAGACUCCGACGGGAGGCAGAGGUGGGGAAGAGUGCACAAUGAGCGCGAGCCUGAUGCAGCGACGCCGCGGGGGGGAGGACGGUCUUCGGGUUAGAGUCGCCUUUCGCUAGGGACGAAGCUGUUUAUGACGGUACCUAGAGAAGAAGCUCCGGCUAACUACGUG
rnacentral:rRNA from 1 species